rnacentral:misc_RNA from 1 species
UCUCCGUUGGUGAACCAGCGGAGGGAUCAUUACCGAGUUUACAACUCCCAAACCCAAUGUGAACCAUACCAAACUGUUGCCUCGGCGGGGUCACGCCCCGGGUGCGUCGCAGCCCCGGAACCAGGCGCCCGCCGGAGGGACCAACCAAACUCUUUUCUGUAGUCCCCUCGCGGACGUUAUUUCUUACAGCUCUGAGCAAAAAUUCAAAAUGAAUCAAAACUUUCAACAACGGAUCUCUUGGUUCUG